UCUCCUCGUAUGAAGCGAUAUCUCAUGGUACAAAUGGGAGAGGAGUACUAUCAUGCCAAAGAUUACAAUAAGGCACUCAUGUUGUUGAACAAGGUGACCUGGGAUUACCGUGGGGAGCGAUGGUGGUCCCUCCUGACCUCGAUUCUGGACAUCUCUAUGAAGUGUGCCUACCUAACGGCUAAAGUCCAGGACUACGUGUCUGUCUGUCUGGAAC